CUCAGCUCUGAUCUGCUUGGUUGACACAUGGUGUCUUUAAAUAGGAAGACAUCCUACUGCUUCGUGUGCAGAGCCACAGAAAGUGCGAAUUCAAUAUGAGCAGGAAGGAGGAUGGCCGUCCAAAUGUUUUCAGCACACGCUCUAUCCUCGGGGAAGUGUUUCCCAGCUCUGCUGUGUCAUGGAAGCGGCGGACGGACUGAGGAGAAAAAUCGACAGCCCCGCUUCUCUGGGAGUGGAGGGAAAUCAGGCCGGACGGGGCACGGGAGCAAAUGCAGCCUCUCCCACUGAGGGAGCCUACGCCUGCCCAGUUCCAAGGCAGGAUUCCGGCAUUCACAACGCUUCUGGCUGAAGAAUUGCCAGGCUGGGGAGGACAGUCCCGGAGGGCAGGAGCAGCAGCAGUGCCCUGACAGCACAGCCCCACCUGACCGGAGGAAAUUCAGUUUAACCUCAGGACACAGCCCUGGACGGAGAGUCUGGAUUGAGCAUCCCAGAGUGAAAAUGGCCAGAGAGAAGACUCACUGCGAACCAAGCUCUUGUCACUCCCUCCUCCAGAGACAUGAAAUCCUGGAUCACCGAGUUAGCCCCCUGCCAGCUCUAGAACGGCCAUACUAGCACCAGCCCUGUCGUCAUCCUGAAAGAUUCCACCUGAUGGGCCGUGUGGAGAAGGGGUGCUGGAGAAGAAUGAAACUAUUGAAGUGGGAUGCUCUGUCUUACAAAGAAUCCAGGGAACCGUCCAGCUAGCGUCUCUUAGGCCAAGGAAAGAUCCCCUCCUAAUGGCCAAAGGAAGGAGAAGCUGGAACUGUG